UGGUUGGUCGUCUCCUUCCUCUUUCUUUUCCGACGAGCAGCGGCAACAGUGACGGCAAAAAAAUAAUCGACCUACUGUUUUGAUGCUUGAGACGAUUGGGAUUAAACGGAUUAGUUUUGCAGUUGUGUAUGAUGGACCAAAUACCAUGAGUCUCGUUCUUACCUCCCUUGAAACCCAUGUGAAGAUUUGAUUUUUUGCUAGUGUGACUGAAGACAAUACACCUCAAAUAUGACAGAUGGCAGAUAACAUGUACAAUGUUGAAGAUGAUUU